CCUACGGGUGGCAGCAGUGAGGAAUAUUGGUCAAUGGACGCGAGCCUGAACCAGCCAAGUCGCGUGUAGGAUGACUGCCCUACGGGUUGUAAACUUCUUUUAUAAAGGAAUAAAGUGAGGCACGUGUGCCGUUUUGUAUGUACUUUAUGAAUAAGGAUCGGCUAACUCCGUGCCAGCAGCCGCGGUAAUACGGAGGAUCCGAGCGUUAUCCGGAUUUAUUGGGUUUAAAGGGAGCGUAGAUGGGUUGAUAAGUUAGUUGUGAAAGUUUGCGGCUCAACCGUAAAAUUGCAAUUGAUACUGGUAGCCUUGAGAACAGUUGCGGUAGGCGGAAUGUGUGGUGUAGCGGUGAAAUGCUUAGAUAUCACGAAGAACUCCGAUUGCGAAGGCAGCUUACUAAACUGCCACUGACAUUGAUGCUCGAAAGUGUGGGUAUCAAACAGGAUUAGAUACCCUAGUAGUC
rnacentral:rRNA from 1 species